UUUCCUGUGGCUCAGUUGGUAGAGCAUUGCGCAAUAACAAUAAGCAAAGGUUGUGGGUUCAAAUCCCAGGGAAAG